GCUCUUGGGUUGUAAACCUCUUUUCUCAGGGAAGAAAAAAAUGACGGUACCUGAGGAAUAAGCAUCGGCUAACUCCGUGCCAGCAGCCGCGGUAAUACGGAGGAUGCAAGCGUUAUCCGGAAUGAUUGGGCGUAAAGCGUCCGCAGGUGGCGAUGAAAGUCUGCUGUUAAAGAGUGAGGCUCAACCUCAUAAAAGCAGUGGAAACUACAUAGCUAGAGUACGUUCGGGGCAGAGGGAAUUCCUGGUGUAGCGGUGAAAUGCGUAGAGAUCAGGAAGAACACCGGUGGCGAAAGCGCUCUGCUAGGCCUGUACUGACACUGAGGGACGAAAGCUAGGGGAGCGAAUGGGAUUAGAUACCCC
rnacentral:rRNA from 1 species